rnacentral:rRNA from 1 species
GUAGUUAGCCGGGGCUUUCUUUUCGGGUACCGUCAUUAUCGUCCCCGAAGACAGAAGUUUACAAUCCGAAGACCUUCUUCCUUCACGCGGCGUUGCUGGGUCAGGCUUGCGCCCAUUGCCCAAUAUUCCCCACUGCUGCCUCCCGUAGGAGUUUGGGCCGUGUCUCAGUCCCAAUGUGGCCGAUCACCCUCUCAGGUCGGCUACCCAUCGUCGCCUUGGUGGGCUGUUAUCCCGCCAACUAGCUAAUGGGACGCGAGUCCCCCCUGUACCGAUAAAUCUUUGACCCCUGUGCCAUGCGGCACUGUGGUCUUAUGCGGUAUUAGCAGCUGUUUCCGGCUGUUAUCCCCCUGUACAGGACAGAUUACUCACGCGUUACUCACCCGUCCGCCGCUAAGGUAUUUCUAAAGCAAGCUUCUUCCAUACCCUCGCUCGACUUGCAUGUGUUAGGCACGCCGCCAGCGUUCGUCCUGAGCCAGGAUCAAACUCUGA